GCCGCCACUGAGGAACCCUAGCGACGGCGGCGCGCUACCGGUGACAUCGUCCAACUCGGCCCCUCCAUCCCCGACGCGGCGGCGCCAGCGUGCAAGUGUUAGGAUACUUGGAUUGGAGUCGAGUGCUAGGCUGCUAGUGCUAGUGUUCAAAGCCUGAAGCCAUGUCCAUGGGCGUGUGGUUGUUGCCUGUUUGUCCACCGGCAGUUCAAAGCCUGAAGCCAUGUCCUGGCGGCCGCGAAGAACCUGCGCAGUGCGCACGGAGGCCGCCUCGGGAGCGCAGAGCGAUUAAUCGGGCUGAUCGUCGACUAAUCGUAAUUAGUCGGCUGAUCGCCCUUCUGGCGAUCAGAGGCUAAUCGCCGAUCUGAAAACUUUGCUCUGCUGGUGCUGCAACGGAUUCGGAACCUGCUGCUGCGAUGGAUCCGGGACCUGGUUGCUGUAACGCAUUCAGCUCCUGCUGCUCUUAAUGAGGUCUGUUCACAAAUUGCAGCUCAGCGUGCAGCCAAUCCUAACCUUGAUAAACUAUAUAUUACAAAAAAGCAGUGAUCGACGUCCUAGAAACCCUAGCUCCGGAAGAAGGGUAGGAGCUCGACCUCCUAGAAAUAGAACCUUCGUGUCAUGAGAACUUCGAAGAAGGGUCAAGAGAAAAUCGAAGGGAGCGAAAACCGACUAGGCCACCCUUCGAGAGCGCCCCGACCCAGGGAACUAAGCGAACGCGAAGAGUUCACUUUCCGGUUAGUUGAGGGUCAUACCGAUGGUGCUCUUUUAAGUUAUGCAGUUGCUGCCUCAAGCUUUCUGCCUCCCUUUGCCAGAGCUAGUAAGAUUGGAAAAGCUUUCAAUUAAUUAACAUAAAUGAGAGUGACUGGACAACCAUAUGAUCUCUACUUUAGAGUAGGGACUACAACUACAACGAAAAGAACAAAACCUUUCGCUUCAAAGGAAGCUGGUAAAGUUACUUUGAGUUUGUUAAACCGCCCAUAUAUGUAACUUUUGGGAACCUGAGUACAGUCCUGCUAGCUUGUGUCUUUUUUUUUUUUGCCAUGCUGGAGAUUUUCUAAGACAAAUAAGUUAUGAGUUUGUUACUGUAUUCUCAUCUUCGUUUACUUAUCAAAAUAUGUUUACUCGCAAGAUAACUUGAUCUAAACUUUCAUUCUUUCUUUAAACAUGUUUAUGU
rnacentral:lncRNA from 7 species